AGAACGAACGCUGGCGGCAUGCCUAAUACAUGCAAGUCGAACGAACUCUUCGGAGUUAGUGGCGCACGGGUGCGUAACGCGUGGGAAUCUGCCCCUUGGUUCGGAAUAACAGUUGGAAACGACUGCUAAUACCGGAUGAUGACGAAAGUCCAAAGAUUUAUCGCCAAGGGAUGAGCCCGCGUAGGAUUAGCUAGUUGGUGAGGUAAAGGCUCACCAAGGCAACGAUCCUUAGCUGGUCUGAGAGGAUGAUCAGCCACACUGGGACUGAGACACGGCCCAGACUCCUACGGGAGGCAGCAGUAGGGAACAUGGACAAUGGGCGAAAGCCUGAUCCAGCAAUGCCGCGUGAGUGAGUGAAGGCCUUAGGGUUAGUAAAGCUUCGUUUACCCGAGAUGAUAAUGACAGUA
rnacentral:rRNA from 1 species